rnacentral:rRNA from 1 species
UACGGAGGGGGCUAGCGUUGUUCGGAAUUAUUGGGCGUAAAGCGUCCGUAGAUGGUUUUGUCAGUCUGCUGUCAAAGCACAGGGCUUAACCCUGUAAAGGCAGUGGAAACUACAAGACUAGAGUGCAGUAGGGGCAGAGGGAAUUCCCAGUGUAGCGGUGAAAUGCGUAGAGAUUGGGAAGAACAUCCGUGGCGAAAGCGCUCUGCUGGACUGCAACUGACAUUGAGGGACGAAAGCUAGGGGAGCGAAUGGG